GUGGGGAAUAUUGCACAAUGGGGGAAACCCUGAUGCAGCGACGCCGCGUGAGGGAUGACGGCCUUCGGGUUGUAAACCUCUUUCAGCAGGGAAGAAGCCCCCUUUGGGGGUGACGGUACCUGCAGAAGAAGUACCGGCUAACUACGUGCCAGCAGCCGCGGUAAUACGUAGGGUACAAGCGUUGUCCGGAAUUAUUGGGCGUAAAGAGCUCGUAGGCGGUUCGUCGCGUCUGCUGUGGAAACGCAAGGCUCAACCUUGCGCGUGCAGCGGGUACGGGCGUAACUAGAGUGCAGUAGGGGAGUCUGGAAUUCCUGGUGUAGCGGUGAAAUGCGCAGAUAUCAGGAGGAACACCGGUGGCGAAGGCGGGACUCUGGGCUGUUACUGACGCUGAGGAGCGAAAGCAUGGGGAGCGAACAGGAUUAGAAACCCUUGUAGUCC
rnacentral:rRNA from 1 species